rnacentral:rRNA from 1 species
UGCCUAGGAAUCUGCCUGGUAGUGGGGGACAACGUUUCGAAAGGAACGCUAAUACCGCAUACGUCCUACGGGAGAAAGCAGGGACCUUCGGGCCUUGCGCUAUCAGAUGAGCCUAGGUCGGAUUAGCUAGUUGGUGAGGUAAUGGCUCACCAAGGCGGCGAUCCGUAACUGGUCUGAGAGGAUGAUCAGUCACACUGGAACUGAGACACGGUCCAGACUCCUACGGGAGGCAGCAGAC